rnacentral:lncRNA from 1 species
AAAAAUCCAAAAAAUCAAGGACGGCUAAAAUUUUCAGUGAAAAUUACUAUUACAUUGGAUUUUCUUUGUAAUUUCUUAAGUUUCCAACUCCUAAAAGUAAAUUCUGAUCUAGAUAGAAUUAAAAUGGUCCGAGUUUAGUGGCUUAAAAAGUUUGGUCUAAAGUUCUGUUUGAUUGUUGCAUAUCAUUCCUUGGUUUAAAACUGGUUCUCUUGUUCAUCUCUGCUGCUGCCGUAUAUUAUUGUUGUUGAUGAUACUUCACCUUCUGUAUCUUUCCAUCUCCAGGUAUUCUUCCUGAAACUAUGGUUGGAAAUUGAGCUUGGUUGUUGAGUCUUAUGUAAAGUCUUAUGAACCAAAUUGUAUUUGUAAAUCAGAAUAUUUUUCAUUGUGAUUGUUGCUGCAUUUGCCAUAUUCCUUUCCUUGAUUCAGUCUAGCUUGCUUUGGAUUCCCCAUUCAUAUGCACUUGGUAUUAGUUGUAAGGUUUGAACUAGUUUGGAUGUUAGAGGUUCAAAGGUACUUUAGAUGAAACUUGUAAUAAUUAAGGACUGUGAUGUUGUAGUUGAUUACUGGAUAUUAGUUGGUUUUUGGUUUGUGUUUGUCAUAGAAAUGAGCUAAAUAUAUGUCUAUUCAGAAUGAUUGAUCUCAUGAAUUUAGUGUCAUUUUAUUUUCCUAAUAAUUAUGCUCAGGUUUGCAUCCAUAUGGUGUGAAAACAUGGUUUAGUGUUCUCAUAGUUUAGCACUAGUUCUCUUUCCAUGUGUGUUCUGAGUUUUGUUUUUCUUUCGGAUUUCUGAAAAGGAAUUUUUCUAAAG